rnacentral:rRNA from 1 species
GGGGAGUACGACCGCAAGGUUGAAACUCAAAGGAAUUGACGGGGGCCCGCACAAGCGGUGGAGCAUGUGGUUUAAUUCGAAGCAACGCGAAGAACCUUACCAGGUCUUGACAUACUCGUGCUAUCCUUAGAGAUAAGGAGUUCCUCCGGGACACGGGAUACAGGUGGUGCAUGGUUGUCGUCAGCUCGUGUCGUGAGAUGUUGGGUUAAGUCCCGCAACGAGCGCAACCCUUAUUACUAGUUGCCAUCAUUAAGUUGGGCACUCUAGUGAGACUGCCGGUGAUAAACCGGGGGAAGGUGGGGAUGACGUCAAAUCAUCAUGCCCCUUAUGACCUGGGCUACACACGUGCUACAAUGGAUGGUACAACGAGUCGCCAACCCGCGAGGGUGCGCUAAUCUCUUAAAACCAUUCUCAGUUCGGAUUGCAGGCUGCAACUCGCCUGCAUGAAGUCGGAAUCGCUAGUAAUCGCGGAUCAGCACGCCGCGGUGAAUACGUUCCCGGGCCUUGUACACACCGCCCGUCACACCACGGAAGUUGGGAGUACCCAAAGUAGGUUGCCUAACCGCAAGGAGGGCGCUUCCUAAGGUAAGACCGAUGACUGGGGUGAAGUCGUAACAAGGUAACCAAGGGCGAAUUCGCGGC